CAAUAGCGUAUAUUAAAGUUGUUGCAGUUAAAAAGCUCGUAGUUGGACCUUGGACCUGGACAGGCGGUCCGCCUCACGGCGAGUACUGUCUUGCUGGGUCUUUCCUCUUGGUGAUCUGUUGUUUCGGCAGCAGGGAACCAGGACCUUUACUUUGAAAAAAUUAGAGUGUUCAAAGCAAGCCUACGCUCUGAAUAUAUUAGCAUGGAAUAACAUGAUAGGACUCUGGCUUAUCUUGUUGGUCUGUGAGACCAGAGUAAUGAUUAAGAGGGACAGUCGGGGACAUUCGUAUUUCAUUGUCAGAGGUGAAAUUCUUGGAUUUAUGAAAGACGAACUUCUGCGAANGNAUUUGUNAAGGAUGUUUNCAUUA
rnacentral:rRNA from 1 species